UGUGUAGGAUAGGUGGGAGGCUUUGAAGUGUGGACGCCAGUCUGCAUGGAGCCGGCCUUGAAAUACCACCCUUUAAUGUUUGAUGUUCUAACGUUGACCCGUGAUCCGGGUUGCGGACAGUGUCUGGUGGGUAGUUUGACUGGGGCGGUCUCCUCCUAAAGAGUAACGGAGGAGCACGAAGGUUGGCUAAUCCUGGUCGGACAUCAGGAGGUUAGUGCAAUGGCAUAAGCCAGCUUGACUGCGAGCGUGACGGCGCGAGCAGGUGCGAAAGCAGGUCAUAGUGAUCCGGUGGUUCUGAAUGGAAGGGCCAUCGCUCAACGGAUAAAAGGUACUCCGGGGAUAACAGGCUGAUACCGCCCAAGAGUUCAUAUCGACGGCGGUGUUUGGCACCUCGAUGUCGGCUCAUCACAUCCUGGGGCUGAAGUAGGUCCCAAGGGUAUGGCUGUUCGCCAUUUAAAGUGGUACGCGAGCUGGGUUUAGAACGUCGUGAGACAGUUCGGUCCCUAUCUGCCGUGGGCGCUGGAGAACUGAGGGGGGCUGCUCCUAGUACGAGAGGACCGGAGUGGACGCAUCACUGGUGUUCGGGUUGUCAUGCCAAUGGCACUGCCCGGUAGCUAAAUGCGGAAGAGAUAAGUGCUGAAAGCAUCUAAGCACGAAACUUGCCCCGAGAUGAGUUCUCCCUGACUCCUUGAGAGUCCUGAAGGAACGUUGAAGACGACGACGUUGAUAGGCCGGGUGUGUAAGCGCAGCGAUGCGUUGAGCUAACCGGUACUAAUGAACCGUGAGGCUUAACCUU
rnacentral:rRNA from 1 species